rnacentral:rRNA from 1 species
UACGAAGGGGGCUAGCGUUGCUCGGAAUCACUGGGCGUAAAGCGCACGUAGGCGGAUCUUUAAGUCAGGGGUGAAAUCCUGGAGCUCAACUCCAGAACUGCCUUGAUACUGGGGAUCUCGAGUCCGGGAGAGGUGAGUGGAACUCCGAGUGUAGAGGUGAAAUUCGUAGAUAUUCGGAAGAACACCAGUGGCGAAGGCGGACUCACUG